GUUUCCGUAGUGUAGUGGUUAUCACGUGUGCCUCACACGCACAAGGUCUACGGUUCGAUUCCGGACGGAAACA
rnacentral:tRNA from 1 species